rfam:Rhizobium sp. CF142 PMI11_contig_147.147, whole genome shotgun sequence.
CUAUAUUCGAAAGUGCAGUAAGGCAGCUGGCUUUCGUGACUGUGUUCUCCUGGCGCGUUCCGAAGCCGCGGGUGUUCCUCCCUCAUCCGUAGGUAAUGCGCCCGCCUCGCCUCGCCCGCCUCCGGCGUGCGAGGCUCUCU